GCAUGCUUUACACAUGCAAGUCGAACGGCAGCGGGGGCUUCGGCCUGCCGGCGAGUGGCGAACGGGUGAGUAAUGCAUCGGAACGUGCCCAUGUCGUGGGGGAUAACUACGCGAAAGCGUGGCUAAUACCGCAUACGCCCUGAGGGGGAAAGCGGGGGAUCUUUCGGGACCUCGCGCGAUUGGAGCGGCCGAUGUCGGAUUAGCUAGUUGGUGGGGUAAAGGCUCACCAAGGCGACGAUCCGUAGCUGGUCUGAGAGGAUGACCAGCCACACUGGGACUGAGACACGGCCCAGACUCCUACGGGAGGCAGCAGCGGGGAAUUUUGGACAAUGGGCGCAAGCCUGAUCCAGCCAUGCCGCGUGAGUGAAGAAGGCCUUCGGGUUGUAAAGCUCUUUCGGCCGGGAAGAAAUCGUGGUCUCUAACAUAGGCCAUGGAUGACGGUACCGGACUAAGAAGCACCGGCUAACUACGUGCCAGCAGCCGCGGUAAUACGUAGGGUGCGAGCGUUAAUCGGAAUUACUGGGCGUAAAGCGUGCGCAGGCGGUUUGCUAAGACAGGUGUGAAAUCCCCGGGCUUAACCUGGGAACUGCGCUUGUGACUGGCAGGCUAGAGUACGGCAGAGGGGGGUGGAAUUCCUGGUGUAGCAGUGAAAUGCGUAGAUAUCAGGAGGAACACCGAUGGCGAAGGCAGCCCCCUGGGCCUGUACUGACGCUCAUGCACGAAAGCGUGGGGAGCAAACAUGGAAAUAGAUACCCUGGUAGUCCACGCCCUAAACGAUGUCGACUAGUCGUUCGGAGCAGCAAUGCACUGAGUGACGCAGCUAACGCGUGAAGUCGACCGCCUGGGGAGUACGGCCGCAAGGUUAAAACUCAAAGGAAUUGACGGGGACCCGCACAAGCGGUGGAUGAUGUGGAUUAAUUCGAUGCAACGCGAAAAACCUUACCUACCCUUGACAUGCCUGGAAGUCUGGUGAGAGCCGGAUGUGCCUUCGGGAGCCAGGACACAGGUGCUGCAUGGCUGUCGUCAGCUCGUGUCGUGAGAUGUUGGGUUAAGUCCCGCAACGAGCGCAACCCUUGUCACUAGUUGCCAUCAUUGAGUUGGGCACUCUAGUGAGACUGCCGGUGACAAACCGGAGGAAGGUGGGGAUGACGUCAAGUCCUCAUGGCCCUUAUGGGUAGGGCUUCACACGUCAUACAAUGGUCGGUACAGAGGGUUGCCAAGCCGCGAGGUGGAGCCAAUCCCACAAAGCCGAUCGUAGUCCGGAUCGUAGUCUGCAACUCGACUACGUGAAGUCGGAAUCGCUAGUAAUCGCAGAUCAGCAUGCUGCGGUGAAUACGUUCCCGGGUCUUGUACACACCGCCCGUCACACCAUGGGAGUGGGUUUCACCAGAAGUAGGUAGCUUAACCCUCGGGA
rnacentral:rRNA from 1 species